UACGUGAGGGUGCGAGCGUUAAUCGGAAUACUGGGCGUAAAGCGUGCGCAGGCGGUUGGCAAAGUCAGCUGUGAAAGCCCCGGGCUCAACCUGGGAAUUGCGGUUGAAACUAGUCGACUAGAAUCUGGCAGAGGGGGGUGGAAUUCCACGUGUAGCAGUGAAAUGCGUAGAGAUGUGGAGGAACACCGAUGGCGAAGGCAGCCCC
rnacentral:rRNA from 1 species